UUAAAUGCUUCUUCCCUUCUCUCUCUCUCAAAAUCCCUACUCCCAUUUCAAAAUUUAGAAAAUGAUGGCCGUUGUAACCACAUAUUUGUGAAGAUGGCGGCCUCUGUUCAGGUAAGACGACGACAAUGGAGAUGAAGUCUAGGGUUUGCAGCUGCGCUACAGGCGGUAAAAGUCGUGAUUCUGAACCAAAAGUGAAAGUAGAAGAUGGUGUACGGACGAAACCAAACACAACCUUCAUCUUCCUCCUCAGGUACCAAAAUCGUCUCUAGGGUAUUGAGCCUAAUGUGAUGAAUCGACUGAUCUUUCACCACCAUCAUAUGUAAACUACGCUGGUAAGUUUUCCAAUUUUUAGUUUGUAGAUUGGUUACAUAAAGUGACAUGAUGCUAAACAACUAGCUUUCCACCAACUUUGACCAGUUAAGCAACUUGGCUACAUCACGGUGCUUAUGCAGAUGUAUAUGAUGCUCUUAUAUAUUUAUAUAUGAACCGAUAUUCAUUUUGUAUUUAACUAAUACUUUGUAGGAAUGACUCUCGCAUCCGUGGAGUGUAGUUCAUCAUACAGUCUAUAGUAAAGGGCCAUAAACAUAUCGACUAAAGGGUUCAAGUAUUACUUGAGAUGUUUGAGAGUAAACUAUAUGAGAUGCCUGACCGAGGUGGUCGUGUGGCUAUGGUGGUUUUAUCAACAGAUCUUGAUGAAUCAGACACACUGCACAUGAUGUUGCUACUGUGACUCCAGCAAACUACUAAAGUACAGAUUUUCAGACUGGAGCAUUUCAACUCAUUUUGUUGGAUUGAAUUUCAUAAGUUAUGUUUUCGAGGUCUAGUUUCCUUAAGUGAAUGGGAGUAAGCAGCCAUGUACUUUGACAUUUGAAGCUCUUCAUGCCUCAUCUUGUGAUGCUGGAAUCAACCAUCCUAACCAGUACAUUAGUAAGCCAAAAGAUCCUGAAAGAAAAG